AUAUAAAUAUUUUACCACUUCAACUUUUGAACCUCUGGUCAAGCCUGUUCACAACCAUCAAGUUGGUCAACCACAAAUAAACUACCAACAACUAUUAAAGGAUAUUUACAAACGUUCGCAAAUGAGUUGACAUCGCUUUGGAACAUUAAAAGGUUUCAAGGAUAUUCGAGAAGACUUGGAUGGAUGGUUCGAGAGAUUAAAGACGCACAUGGAUUUUCAUAAAAUUUUAAAAUGUUGUACAGUAUUUUGACUCAUUUAAAAUAAUGUAAAGUUUUACAAAUUUAUGAAAUGAUGUUUUAAGCU